rnacentral:rRNA from 1 species
AGAGUUUGAUCCUGGCUCAGAACGAACGCUGGCGGCGCGUCUUAAGCAUGCAAGUCGAACGGCAUGAGGAAGCUUGCUUCCUCAGAGAGUGGCGGACUGGUGAGUAACACGUGGGUGACCUACCCUUGAGAUGGGGAUAGCCAUUAGAAAUAGUGGAUAAUACCGAAUACGCUCUACGGACUCUGGUUUGUAGAGGAAACAGGCUACGGCCUGGCUCGAGGAUGGGCCCGCGUCCCAUUAGCUAGUUGGUGAGGUAACGGCCCACCAAGGCGACGAUGGGUAUCCGGCCUGAGAGGGUGAACGGACACAUUGGGACUGAGAUACGGCCCAAACUCCUACGGGAGGCAGCAGCUAAGAAUAUUCCGCAAUGGACGAAAGUCUGACGGAGCGACGCCGCGUGGAUGAUGAAGGCCGGGAGGUUGUAAAAUCCUUUUGCUGGGGAAGAAUAACCAUGGGAGGGAAUGCCCGUGUGAUGACAUGAACCGGCGAAUAAGCCCCGGCUAACUACGUGCCAGCAGCCGCGGUAACACGUAGGGGGCAAGCGUUGUUCGGAAUUAUUGGGCGUAAAGGGCAUGUAGGCGGUUUGGUAAGCCUGAUGUGAAAUCCUGCAGCUUAACUGUAGAAUUGCAUUGGGUACUGCCGAACUUGAAUCACUGAGGGGAAACUAGAAUUCCAGGUGUAGGGGUGGAAUCUGUAGAUAUCUGGAAGAAUACCGGUGGCGAAGGCGGGUUUCUAGCUGAUGAUUGACGCUGAGGUGCGAAAGUGCGGGGAGCAAACAGGAUUAGAUACCCUGGUAGUCCGCACCGUAAACUAUGUACACUAGGUGUAGGGGCAUGAGUCUCUGUGCCAAAGCUAACGCAAUAAGUGUACCGCCUGGGAAGUAUGCCCGCAAGGGUGAAACUCAAAGGAAUUGACGGGGGCCCGCACAAGCGGUGGAGCAU